AACGAACGUUAGCGGUGUGGAUUAGGCAUGCAAGUCGAGCGCGAAAGUCUUCGGACAAGUAAAGCGGCGAAAAGGGUGAGUAACACGUAACCAACCUACCCCUGAGAUCGGAAUAAACCGCUGGAAACGGACGGACGAAUGCCGAAUGGUCCGUCUAGGAAGGCAUCUUCUCAUAGGUAAACGGUGGCUUCGGCUGCUGC
rnacentral:rRNA from 1 species